CGAGCGGAAACGAGUUAUCUGAACCUUCGGGGAACGAUAACGGCGUCGAGCGGCGGACGGGUGAGUAAUGCCUAGGAAAUUGCCCUGAUGUGGGGGAUAACCAUUGGAAACGAUGGCUAAUACCGCAUGAUGCCUACGGGCCAAAGAGGGGGACCUUCGGGCCUCUCGCGUCAGGAUAUGCCUAGGUGGGAUUAGCUAGUUGGUGAGGUAAGGGCUCACCAAGGCGACGAUCCCUAGCUGGUCUGAGAGGAUGAUCAGCCACACUGGAACUGAGACACGGUCCAGACUCCUACGGGAGGCAGCAGUGGGGAAUAUUGCACAAUGGGCGCAAGCCUGAUGCAGCCAUGCCGCGUGUGUGAAGAAGGCCUUCGGGUUGUAAAGCACUUUCAGUCGYGAGGAAGGUAUGUAGUUAAUAGCUGCAUUAUUUGACGU
rnacentral:rRNA from 1 species